GAUCGUAAUUCAUCAUUCUCGACCGACAUACCGCAAUCUGCCGUCUCUGUGUUUGCGUAAUUCACACCUUAGAGACACAAGAAAUGCGCGCGUGACUGCACAUUUCGAACUCUUCCUAUUGUUUUGUAUGGUUACUCUACAUCUUUUGAAAGUUUGGAGGC
ensembl:ncRNA C13C4.12 ncRNA